GGCGCAGGCGGAGAUGUCAGCCAGACGUGAAAGCCCGGAGCUCAACUCCGGAACAGCGUUUGGAACUACAUCCCUAGAGGAUAGGCGGAGAAAACGGAAUUCCACAUGUAGCGGUGAAAUGCGUAGAUAUGUGGAAGAACACCGGUGGCGAAGGCGGUUUUCUAGCUUAUUCCUGACGCUGAGGCCCGAAAGCUAGGGGAGCAAACA
rnacentral:rRNA from 1 species